rfam:Scleroderma citrinum Foug A unplaced genomic scaffold scaffold_820, whole genome shotgun sequence.
GCAUCUUUAGCUAAAUUGGUAAAGCUUUUGCCUUCGAAGCAAGUGAUUAUUGGUUCAAGUCCAAUAAGAUGUU